UGCCGACAGGUCCGGGAAACCCGUUGAACCCUGGCCGUGCUAGGGAUAGGGAAUUGCAAUUAUUUCCCUUGAACGAGGAAUUCCCAGUAAGCGCGAGUCAUUAGCUCGCGUUGAUUACGUCCCUGCCCUUUGUACACACCGCCCGUCGCUACUACCGAUUGAAUGGUUUAGUGAGGUCCUCCGAUUGGACCCGGUCCGGGCGGCGACGUCCGAGCCGGCGUCCGAGAAGACGAUCUAACUUGAUCAUUUAGAGGAAGUAAAAGUCGUAACAAGGUUUCCGUAGGUGAACCUGCGGAAGGAUCAUUA
rfam:Ciona savignyi cont_45743, whole genome shotgun sequence.